GAAAGCCUCUACCAGAUUACUUCUCUCUUUCUCCACCCCUGCUCCAUCAGAGCUGGGUGUUAAGAUCAGAAGGUGCACUGAGGACUGGGAAAAACCCUGCAAACAAGAAAGAAACACAAUGGAUCCUUCUGCGUAUCCUGAGAGUGAACCAAUGUAAGCUGGAGCCCAAAGGAGAAAGAAACCCUAACAUUCGUAUAGUAUCUGAAUCAAGCCAUCACCACAAGUAAUAAAG
rnacentral:lncRNA from 1 species